CUCGAGGAAGCUGGAGGAGAAAAUUAAUGUUUACGCGAGUGCAAGGAAUACAUGCCGCAAGACAGGACACGAUAAGACGUCGAAAAGCGCCGCGCUAUCAACCACCGCCACGAAACGUCGUCGUCGUCGUCAUCAUUGUCUUCCCGUUGACUUCCUCGAUUAGAUCAGAAUACUGGAAUUUGACUAAUGCCGUUACCAACCGACAUGGAAGCGAAAUUGCUGCGCCAGAUAGUUCUUGCAGGUAUGGCAGAUCUAAAAGAGGAUCAGGAUAAGGCCAAGUGGAAAUAUGCUUUAGAGGUUAGGUAUGAACACCAUCAGAAAUGGAGGAACCUGGUUCAUGCAUUCUUCGUGCGUUCUACGGAAAAUUAGUCCGGAAUAGGUGGUUUAUAAAAAGGUGUACGAAACGAAUAAGAUGUAUAUGCGAGGUGUCACGGCGAUAGAACCCGAAUGAUUGCCGAAAUUCGCUUCCACGCUAUGCCAUCUUAGUGAAUCAUUGGUUGAUCCACCGCCAAGAUAUAAUCAAGGAACCGGGAAGAUCAUUUGCCGCGUGUCUGGUACAUAUGGAAAGGCCGGAUGGGGACUACCAUCGAUGGAUAUAGAGCAUCUGUGGACGGUGUAAAGUGGUUCGCGUAUUUCUUCUUGGAGGGUCAAGUGUACCCUAAGCUGAAACGAUUUGUUCCGUCGUUGCUGACGACACCUGGGAGCAUCACCAAGUCAUGGGCCAGGUUGAUACCACGCACUCAAGCAAUAGUACAAACGUUGCAGUCGCAGGGAGUCGUGUCCAAA